AACGAACGCUGGCGGCGUGCCUAACACAUGCAAGUCGAACGGAAUUGAAGGGCUUGCUCUUCAAUUUAGUGGCGCACGGGUGAGUAACGCGUAGAUAAUCUGCCUGAUGGUCCGGGAUAACAGUUCGAAAGGACUGCUAAUACCGGAUAAGCCCACGAGCACUUUGGUGUUUGCGGGAAAAGGGGGGACCGUAAGGCCUUCUGUCAUCAGAUGAGUCUGCGUACCAUUAGCUAGUUGGUAGGGUAAAGGCCUACCAAGGCUACGAUGGUUAGCUGGUCUGAGAGGAUGAUCAGCCACACUGGAACUGAGACACGGUCCAGACUCCUACGGGAGGCAG
rnacentral:rRNA from 1 species